GACGAACGCUGGCGGCGUGCUUAACACAUGCAAGUCGAACGGAAAGGCCCUGCUGUUGUGGGGUGCUCGAGUGGCGAAAGGGUGAGUAACACGUGAGUAACCUGCCCUUGACUUUGGGAUAACUUCAGGAAACUGGGGCUAAUACCGGAUAGGAGCUCCUGCUGCAUGGUGGGGGUUGGAAAGUUUCGGCGGUUGGGGGUGGACUCGCGGCUUAUCAGCUUGUUGGUGGGGUAGUGGCUUACCAAGGCUUUGACGGGUAGCCGGCCUGAGAGGGUGACCGGCCACAUUGGGACUGAGAUACGGCCCAGACUCCUACGGGAGGCAGCAGUGGGGAAUAUUGCACAAUGGGCGGAAGCCUGAUGCAGCAACGCCGCGUGCGGGAUGACGGCCUUCGGGUUGUAAACCGCUUUCGCCUGUGACGAAGCGUGAGUGACGGUAAUGGGUAAAGAAGCACCGGCUAACUACGUG
rnacentral:rRNA from 1 species